rnacentral:rRNA from 1 species
UACGUAGGGUGCGAGCGUUGUCCGGAAUUACUGGGCGUAAAGAGCUCGUAGGUGGUUUGUCGCGUUGUCCGUGAAAACUCACAACUCAAUUGUGGGCGUGCGGGCGAUACGGGCAGACUGGAGUACUGCAGGGGAGACUGGAAUUCCUGGUGUAGCGGUGGAAUGCGCAGAUAUCAGGAGGAAUACCGGUGGUGUAGACGGCUCCUCGUGGCACCGCCACUGACGCUGAGACAACGAAGCGUGGGUAGCAAACAGG